GGAAGGAUCAUUACUGAAAAACUUCAAAGUUUUUUAUAUCCCAUUGUCUACCUACCAUGUUGCUUCCACCGGACAUGUUUUACCUUGUGUAAGACCUUUGACUUGUGUGAAUAACCCAAGUCAGGGAGUUGCCGGUGGCAAGACCAUCUACCAAAACUUGAUUAAAGUACUUUGUCUGAAUCUUUUGCUUCAAUGAAAUAAAACUUUCAACAACGGAUCUCUAGGCUCUUGCAUCGAUGAAGAACGCAGUGAAAUGCGAUAAGUAAUGUGAAUUGCAGAAUCUCGUGAAUCAUCGAAUCUUUGAACGCACAUUGCGCCCUAUGGUAUUCCGUAGGGCAUGCCUGUCUGAGCGUCAGCUCCCACCCACUCAAGUAUCUUUUUUGCAGGAUUCUUGGAAUAAUUUGGAGAGGUAUCUUGUCACAGAGAUGUCCUCCAGAAAUCUAUAGGCAGUAUGGUUUGUAUCUGAACCAGACGUAAUAAUAAUAAAAUCGUUUGUUUGGGAAUAAUUGUGCUUGCCUUAACCCACCCAUUUUUUUUAUUUGGGUGACCUCAGAUCAGGUAGGGAUACCCGCUGAACUUAAGCAUAUCAAUAAGCGGAGGAAAAGAAACCAACAGGGAUUGCCCUAGUAACGGCGAGUGAAGCGGCAAAAGCUCAGAUUUGAAAUCUGUCGUCAUUUUGGCGGCCGAGUUGUAGUCUGUAGAGGUGUAUUCGAGUGUGGCUUUGGCUUAAGUUCCUUGGAACAGGGCGUCAUAGAGGGUGAGAACCCCGUUAACGGCCUUUGUCUUAUGCUCAUGUGAAUCUCCUUCAACGAGUCGAGUUGUUUGGGAAUGCAGCUCUAAAUGGGUGGUAAAUUCCAUCUAAAGCUAAAUACUGGCAAGAGACCGAUAGCGCACAAGUAGAGUGAUCGAAAGAU
rnacentral:rRNA from 1 species